CUCUCACAUGACUAAUUGAUAAAUUUCUUGUCACCAUGCGCAUUGCAUGCCAUAAAGAAUGUUGUCUAUCACAAGGAUCCAUCAUGCAUGCCAUUGCUCCAAACUUUACAAGCAUCUUACAAGUCACUUGCUCAUCUUCCUUCUUUUUAGCAAAUUAUUUCACUACUUUUUAUAUAAUGAGGAGAUCCAACUCAUUUAUAGAAAUCGCUCACGUAUCGGCAUCGAUCAUAACUCCUCCAAAAUAGAUCCAUCAUGGAUCUAGGAUCAAAUUGUAUUGCUAUUAUACAUAAAAAAGAAAAAAGUUGGAAAAAUGAAGUUUAUUGGAUUUAUUUUAUUGGA
rnacentral:lncRNA from 1 species